UACGUAGGUGGCAAGCGUUGUUCGGAAUUACUGGGCGUAAAGGGCUCGUAGGCGGCCAACUAAGUCAUACGUGAAAUCCCUCAGCUUAACUGGGGAACUGCGUGUGAUACUGGAUGGCUUGGAUUUGGGAGAGGGAUGCGGAAUUCCAGGUGUAGCGGUGAAAUGCGUAGAUAUCUGGAGGAACACCGGUGGCGAAGGCGGCAUCCUGGACCAAUAUUGACGCUGAGGAGCGAAAGCCAGGGGAGCAAACGGG
rnacentral:rRNA from 1 species